rnacentral:lncRNA from 1 species
GGCUCCACAUGUUCCUGAGAACAAGAAUACUCCACUGCCGUGUCGGGGCUCUCAUCUUCCCUAGCUGCCAGCUUGGUCGCGGUGAUGAAUGGAAGAGGAAGAGGUAGCAGAUCCCCAGGAGGGAAUUGGAUGCAGCUGAAAUACAAGGCAGUAAAGGACACAAGAGUCUACAGCUUUUACUGCAUACUCAUCUCGUUUGCUGAUAAACUUGGUCCAUCCAAAGCUUCCCAGGUGGUUGCAGCGUUAUCCCAGGCUGAGAAGCACAUCACUGUCUGCUAUCUAAGGAAGGACAUUUCGGAGCAAGGAUUUGGAGACAGGCACAUCUCGACUUGCCGAGCCAGUUCUAGCAAAAGAAAUGGUGUCUCUCAUGAAAGCAGAUGCGGAGGAGAGAUGGUCUUGGCGGGUAAACAGAUGAGGGUUUGA